rnacentral:sRNA from 1 species
GCUGGGUGCAGUGGUGCACACCUAUAAUCCCAAUGACUUGGGAGGCUGAGGCAGGAGGAUUGCAAGUUCACAUCCGGCCUGGGCAACUUAGCAAGACCCUCAGUAACUUGGUGAGACCCUGUUUCAA